rnacentral:tRNA from 1 species
GGGUUGCUAGCUCAGUCGGUAGAGCAAUCGCCUCUUAAGCGAUCGGUCGUCGGUUCGAGUCCGACGCAACCCA